rnacentral:piRNA from 1 species
UAAGCAAUUGUGUCCUCUAAUGAUCUUCCU